UUUUUUUAAAAAAAAAAGUCUGUGUUGGUAAACCAGCUUCACUUCCUCAUUGUUUUGAAAUAAGGCCAAUGCAUCAUUUCCCUUUUCUUUCCCUGGGGGUUGUAUGGUGCAUAACAGCCCUUGUCUGGCUAGGAGUGUAGCAAUGGGACCCCGUUUCUGCGGCAGGGCCUUCAUGAAACAAAUGAGAUGGCGUCGAAGUUACUUUUCUUGUUGUUGAGACAAAAUACCUGACCCUCAAAGUUAAGGGAGGAAAGGUGUAUUUGCUCAUAGUUUGUAGAGGUUUUAGACCAUAGUCGGCUGGCUCCAAGGCAGGGUGGCACAUGGCGGAGGGGCCUCGCAGAGCGGGAGCAGUUCCUGGCGAGCAGCAGAAAGCAAAGCAAGCAAAGGACAAUCACAGCUCUUUCUACCCCUUCUGUCUUGUCCAGGCCUUCAGGGCGGGCAGCACUCACACCCUAACCCUACUGCCCUUGAGCCUAGCACUGCACCAUGAGUCAGUCCCAGUGUCACACACCCUAGACGCAGCCACCUCUGGAAGGGCCCCACCUGUGGCCACACGAGGCUUUGGGGCACAUCUGGACACAGCCACAACAGAGAAAACCAGAAAAGAGACUGUCUGCCUGGCUCAAGCAUAUCAACGAUUAAGUACAAGCCACCAACAUCCUUCUGCUUUUUGAUGCUUAGAAGAGUUUUUUAAGGAUUGGAAUGAAUAUAUCCAGUGUUUCCCACCAGAAGCACACACAGCUGAGCAAACGUGCUGAACACCAGCAUGAGCUCUAGGAGUACUGUUACACACUUGACACACACCCUUCACGUAAGUGCUGCUGUGUCAAGUGGUAUGAUCCCCACCCAGCACAGGCACGGGUUCAGCAUGGCUAAGGGACCCGCUGGGGCUUCCACAGAGGCAGCUGUUGGCCUUGAGAUCCUCGUAACUCAUUCUGGUACCUUGUACUAGAGUGCUGGGAUUACAGGCAUGCAGCACCCUGCCUGGUUACAACGUGUUUAUUAAUCUUCCAUUUCCUGUCAGAAUCUUUAUCAACCACAACUUGUUUAGAAAUAUGGAGUCCAGGGCCAGGGAUGUAGCUCAGUGGCACCGCACCUGCCUGGCAAACACAAGGUCCUGAGUUUGAUCCCCGGUACCAAAUAAAUAAAAAUAAAUACAAAGUCCACCAAAAAAUGUAUACACACUUCAGGAAAAGGAAAACUAUGAAGUUUUUUCAGCAGAUGGUGUUACCCUCGUGUGAGGGACCCUAGAGGAUGCCGUGUAUCGCAGGAAACCCACUGCACUGCCGGCCCUUAGGGAAGAAAGUGAAAAUGCACGCACACACGGCGAUCUCAGUGAGCGAGGUCCCCGAGCGGCAGUUCAGGGCACUGAGCGUCUGGGGGCUCACGGCCCCCUCUGAGCACCUCCUGUCACUGUGGAGGCCAAAGGUGACUUGUACUCAUCUCACCAUGUCUGAAUAAAUUUGGCGUUAAAAUACUGA